AGCUUGUUGAGGUCACUGCUCACCACCCAUCAAACAAAUCAACCGAAAUAUGAGCUUGUGCCUGAACCGGACACCUGAAGCGGUGGCCAUGAACUUGGACACCUGAAUCUCACUCCCUCACUAACUACUGUCGACUAACAGGAGGACCCAAAGAACCUUGCACAUCGAUCACAUAACAUGCCUACUACAAUGUUAUCAACAGGCUGCGGGUAUCCUUCAAGUCAACACUAUAAAUAUGCAAGUGCCAUACGACCUAACACCUCUUUCCCCAGUCGCACAUCUAAUACAUGUUCAAUUCGAUGCUUAUAUAGCAGGUUACCAGGUGUACUGGCUGGGAACAAAAGACUUAUCAUUUUGGUAUGUAUUGGUAAAAGUGACUCAUUGUGUUAGUUUUCUUCCAAAAUUAACAAGUUGUAGAUAUCAGAUUCUGCACCCCUUAGAGGCAUAUAAACGGAUAUUCUUUGCUUUCAUGUUCGUUUAAUUUAUUGAAGUACACUGACUGUAACUAUUCCGUGUUUUUUGUUGAGCACCAACAGAUGAAGUGGGAGCUUCAUGUGCUCAUGUUGUUGCAGACAAAGCUAAGUCCAACAAAUUGAAGGACUACUUGAUCCAUGAGGCUUGUACAUUGGUUACUUCACCUGAUAAAAGCCUAAGAUGUCGUACAUGCAUGAAGGCUCAUAUGCAUACCAUGUAGAGCACUUGCAAUCAAAAUAGGAACUGGGCGUCAAUCAUUGCUGGUUAAAGGAUAACCUUCUUCAAUUGUUUCCACUUCUGCAACGGAUCGAUUUGGAUCACUUAUGAUAAUAUGCGCUGGUGCAAUUGUAGCAUAUUUCUCACCAACACACCAGGCCACUAAGUAAUUUGGUCAUAAGAGAGGUAAAUGGCUUUUAAAAACCAAACUGUACAAUUUAUAUGUUUUUAAAAUACUACAUAUUUGACUUACUUGAUAUUGAGAAUAUGUAACAGAAAAUAUUAUUGUUUGUUGUUUACGAUGUAUUGGGUUGAGAUAAUGCGCAAGUACAAGGAACAAGGGAGGGGCACUUGGAGAAAUGAGCCAAAAAUCCAAAACCAGUAUUGUGCCUGUGUGAGAGCCAGCACUAGCCAGUGAAUCAAGGGUAUGACACAAUCAAGAAAUAGCAUCUCUGGAAAAACAUGGCUGGUUAUUCGAUUAAUAGAAUUUUCAAAUCCAAAUACUUUGUUCUUACAUUUGUAUAUAAAUUUACAUAUUGAUGCUCGCAGUAUCA